UACGAAGGGGGCUAGCGUUGUUCGGAAUCACUGGGCGUAAAGGGCGCGUAGGCGGCCGCUCAAGUCGGGGGUGAAAGCCUUUGGCUUAACCACAGAAUUGCCUUCGAUACUGUUUGGCUUGAGACCGGAAGAGGUUAGUGGAACUGCGAGUGUAGAGGUGAAAUUCGUAGAUAUUCGCAAGAACACCAGUGGCGAAGGCGGCUGACUGGUCCGGUUCUGACGCUGAGGCGCGAAAGCGUGGGGAGCAAACAGG
rnacentral:rRNA from 1 species